GCUGGGCGUGGUGGCGCAUGCCUGUAGUCCCAGCUACUUGGGAGGCUGAGGCAGGAGAAUAGCUUGAACCCAGGAGGCAGAGGUUGCAGUGAGCCGAGAUCACGCCACUGCACUCCAGCCUGGGCAACAAAGCGAGACUCAGUCUCAA
ensembl:misc_RNA Metazoa_SRP Metazoan signal recognition particle RNA